GGUUCGGUGGUGUAGUUGGUUAUCACGUCAGUCUAACAUUCCUACAACGGAUGUCGCGCACUGAAGGUCCCGAGUUCAAACCUCGGCUGAAUCA